UGGGGAAUAUUGGACAAUGGGCGCAAGCCUGAUCCAGCCAUGCCGCGUGAGUGAUGAAGGCCCUAGGGUUGUAAAGCUCUUUCACCGGUGAAGAUAAUGACGGUAACCGGAGAAGAAGCCCCGGCUAACUUCGUGCCAGCAGCCGCGGUAAUACGAAGGGGGCUAGCGUUGUUCGGAUUUACUGGGCGUAAAGCGCACGUAGGCGGACUUUUAAGUCAGGGGUGAAAUCCCGGGGCUCAACCCCGGAACUGCCUUUGAUACUGGAAGUCUUGAGUAUGGUAGAGGUGAGUGGAAUUCCGAGUAUAGAGGUGAAAUUCGUAGAUAUUCGGAGGAACACCAGUGGCGAAGGCGGCUCACUGGACCAUUACUGACGCUGAGGUGCGAAAGCGUGGGGAGCAAACAGG
rnacentral:rRNA from 1 species